GUUUUCUUGGGCAGUGAUGAGUCUAGAUACAUAAGUGGGAUCAACCUUGUUAUCGAUGGUGGCUAUAGCACAACUAGUCCAGCUUUGAAAAUGCCUAUGAAAGCCUAUUUCAACUAUAGCUAGUAACCUAUGGAAAAUGUGAGGUUCGAUCUCAUGGACUAAAUAGUUUUAUUAUAAUAGUUAUAGUGUAUUGUAUUUUAGCUCACGCAAUAAGUCUGUGUUGGUCAGAAAUGUGCAUAUAUGUUUCACUGUUUUGUUUGAUUUUAAGGAAAUUGUGAGUAGGAACAUCGGACCCUAUACAAAUGAUAUGGCAGAAUGGCUCAACCUCAGAGCUGGACUCUCCCUGAUCAAGCAGCUGAACAUAUCUAAUGUAAUCAUAGAGUCAGACUCCUCUUUUGUUGUAAAUACAGUUAAUGUAGGAGGUAAUGUGGUGAAAGAUUGUAAAUCUUUACUACAAGUAUGUAAUGUUAGAGUGAGAUAUGUGUGUAGACAGGCCAAUAUGGUGGCAAACUUGCUAGCAAAGACAGGUUUAAAAGGAAGUGAUACACCCCCUGGUUUAUGUCUGUGGACCAUGAGUUAGGCCUUGUCCUGUAUUUAGAUUAUGUAUCCUAGAAGAAGGUAAUGUACUCCUACUUUUGAAUAAUAAAAUAGUUUGGUUGUUCCAAAAAAAAAAAAGUAAAUUGUGACUAGGCAAUUUUUUUUGGUAAGAUACACUUUUCAGAGCCCAUUUGGCCUCUGAUCACCCUGCAAAAAGGGGUAUAUACUGUGUUGAAAAAUUGCGAGCUUAUAUGCCGAUAUAGAUCUGCUAAUAUCACAAAUUUUAUAUGGUUUUACUCUUGACCUCUACAAAUCUAUGAAAAAAACUCAAAACCAUUUUUUUUUUUUUUUUUAAAAGAUGGGAUUGUUUGAUGAGGGUAAUAUUUGUGGAGAUUGGGUAAGGGGCAACGAGAGAGUACCACCCAAUUUUUUUUUUUGUUUUUUUUUUUUUUUUUUUUUGUUAUCAAAAUCAAAUUUUAUUGAUAAGCUCAACGAAUUACACAAAAGUAGAGGACAAACGCGCUACAAACUGCGCGGCAAGUCCUUUCUGGAUAGCAAACCCGAUAAUUUUAGUGGAUCUUUUACAAAUCCAAUGCCUGUCCCAUAACAUCGAUCCAAGCAGAUAUCGAGACUGGGGGCAAAUUUGGAAAAUAAAAAACCCCAUAAGUCCAUGACCACAAAGUCUUCUUUCUUUCUUAUUUUCAUUUUGGAUCUGAGCUGCCUGCUGCUCCAACUAAAAAAACUGAGAGAAGUUUCUUGUGCAAGUUAUAUUUUCGUUUGUUUAGAGAUCAAAGAAAGAGAUGAGUUUGACUUCAUUUCAAGCUGCACGACUUGCGAAAAGGUAUGGAUCCCAAAUCCCAAACUUCCUCAACCUGUAGCUUACUAGCUAACAGUUCUUUUUAUGAUUAUGUAGGCUAGAAGGUAAAGUGGCACUAAUAACGGGUGGAGCGAGUGGUAUUGGUGCUAGCACGGCAAAAUUGUUUGCUAAAAAUGGCGCGAAGGUUGUUAUUGCUGAUAUUCAAGACGAUCUAGGAAGUUCGAUUUGUAAAGAAGUUGAAAACAUUAAGUACAUCCAUUGCGAUGUGACUCAAGAAAAUGAUGUCAAACAUGCUGUUGAUACAACUAUGAGUGAUUAUGGACAACUCGAUGUUAUGUUCAACAAUGCAGGUGUUCCAGCUCCAAGAAGUGCACUUCAGAUCUUAACUUCGGAUAUCCAAGAUUUUAAGAAAGUCUUUGAUGUAAAUGUCUGUGGUGGAUUUUUAGGUGCAAAACAUGCUGCAAGGGUAAUGAUACCUGUGAAAAAAGGAAGUAUUAUUUUUACAUCGAGCGGUGUUUCAGUCACUACAGGUGAUGCACCACACUCUUACACUGCAUCAAAGCAUGCUGUGGUAGGAUUAGCGAAGAAUCUGUGUACCGAGCUAGGACAGUAUGGGAUUAGAGUUAAUUGUAUUUCUCCAUAUCUGGUUGCUACUCCAAUGCUGACUAAUGCAAUGGGAAUAGAUGAAACUAAGGUUGAAGAGAUUAUGUCUGAAGCUGCCAACUUAAAAGGAAUGGUUGUCAAGACAGAGGAUAUUGCUGAGGCAGCUGUUUUUUUGGGCAGUGAUGCGUCAAGAUACAUAAGUGGGAUCAACCUUGUUAUCGAUGGUGGCUAUAGCAUAACUACUCCGGCAUUGAAAAUGGCAAUGAAAGCCCAUUUCGGUGAUCACUAGCUAGGUGAAUAAAUAUGAAUGUAAUCUUUGCUCUUUUGUUUGAUUUUAACGAAAUUUAUCUGUUCAGACACUCCACAAAUUUUAGUAACAUACACCUUUCGAAGCCUUUUUGGCCGUUGAUGAACCUGCAAACCGAUGAGAUGUU
rnacentral:lncRNA from 1 species